rnacentral:rRNA from 1 species
AGAGUUUGAUCAUGGCUCAGAUUGAACGCUGGCGGCAGGCCUAACACAUGCAAGUCGAACGGUAACAGGAAGCAGCUUGCUGCUUCGCUGACGAGUGGCGGACGGGUGAGUAAUGUCUGGGAAGCUGCCUGAUGGAGGGGGAUAACUACUGGAAACGGUAGCUAAUACCGCAUAAUGUCGCAAGACCAAAGAGGGGGACCUUCGGGCCUCUUGCCAUCGGAUGUGCCCAGAUGGGAUUAGCUUGUUGGUGGGGUAACGGCUCACCAAGGCGACGAUCCCUAGCUGGUCUGAGAGGAUGACCAGCCACACUGGAACUGAGACACGGUCCAGACUCCUACGGGAGGCAGCAGUGGGGAAUAUUGCACAAUGGGCGCAAGCCUGAUGCAGCCAUGCCGCGUGUAUGAAGAAGGCCUUCGGGUUGUAAAGUACUUUCAGCGGGGAGGAAGGGAGUAAAGUUAAUACCUUUGCUCAUUGACGUUACCCGCAGAAGAAGCACCGGCUAACUCCGUGCCAGCAGCCGCGGUAAUACGGAGGGUGCAAGCGUUAAUCGGAAUUACUGGGCGUAAAGCGCACGCAGGCGGUUUGUUAAGUCAGAUGUGAAAUCCCCGGGCUCAACCUGGGAACUGCAUCUGAUACUGGCAAGUUUGAGUCUCGUAGAGGGGGGUAGAAUUCCAGGUGUAGCGGUGAAAUGCGUAGAGAUCUGGAGGAAUACCGGUGGCGAAGGCGGCCCCCUGGACGAAGACUGACGCUCAGGUGCGAAAGCGUGGGGAGCAAACAGGAUUAGAUACCCUGGUAGUCCACGCCGUAAACGAUGUCGACUUGGAGGUUGUGCCCUUGAGGCGUGGCUUCCGGAGCUAACGCGUUAAGUCGACCGCCUGGGGAGUACGGCCGCAAGGUUAAAACUCAAAUGAAUUGACGGGGGCCCGCACAAGCGGUGGAGCAUGUGGUUUAAUUCGAUGCAACGCGAAGAACCUUACCUGGUCUUGACAUCCACGGAAGUUUUCAGAGAUGAGAAUGUGCCUUCGGGAACCGUGAGACAGGUGCUGCAUGGCUGUCGUCAGCUCGUGUUGUGAAAUGUUGGGUUAAGUCCCGCAACGAGCGCAACCCUUAUCCUUUGUUGCCAGCGGUCCGGCCGGGAACUCAAAGGAGACUGCCAGUGAUAAACUGGAGGAAGGUGGGGAUGACGUCAAGUCAUCAUGGCCCUUACGACCAGGGCUACACACGUGCUACAAUGGCGCAUACAAAGAGAAGCGACCUCGCGAGAGCAAGCGGACCUCAUAAAGUGCGUCGUAGUCCGGAUUGGAGUCUGCAACUCGACUCCAUGAAGUCGGAAUCGCUAGUAAUCGUGGAUCAGAAUGCCACGGUGAAUACGUUCCCGGGCCUUGUACACACCGCCCGUCACACCAUGGGAGUGGGUUGCAAAAGAAGUAGGUAGCUUAACCUUCGGGAGGGCGCUUACCACUUUGUGAUUCAUGACUGGGGUGAAGUCGUAACAAGGUAACCGUAGGGGAACCUGCGGUUG